AGGGGUUGGGAGGAGGGAUGAUGGUGGGAAAGCGGUGAAAGGAGAUGGUGGGGUGGGCGGCGGAGACGUUGGCGAUGAAGGGGGCGGUGGCGCCGGUGUUGUAGUGGGGCUCGACGAUGAGGAUGGUGACGGAGAAGUGGUGGCGGAUGAGGAUCUUGGCGAGCUCGACCAUCGAGACGAGGUGGCCCAUCCCCGGCGAGGGAUAGAGGACGACCGAGUACGUCGG
rnacentral:misc_RNA from 1 species